CUCGCGGGGCGCACAGGGCCUGGCGGGACCGCGCUCCCGGGGGCGGGCGGGAGGCAGGAGGGAGCUGGCGCGCGGCCGGGGAGGGGACCCGCCGGGGAAGCCGUGGGGCGGGAUGUCAGCAGCUGCAAAACGAGCCCGCCUCCCUUCCCGGUAUCCUCGCGGCCACCCCGCGGAAGGUGGCGCCGCGCCAGGCGGGCACCAGAACCGGCGCAGCCACGCCCUGCCGAGGGUGCAGGACGAAUCCUGCCCCUGGGGAAUGUGAGUCUUCAGACCUUCCUGUCCUCCUCCCCUGACGCCCUCCAGUUUCCCGACAUUGCGCUUCAAACGUGUCACCCAGAACAGUGCCCACGGCUGCCCACAAAGGACUGGAGACGGCUCCAUCCCGAUGGGGACCAGGGACGCGGGGGCUUCCUCAUGUCCCAUGGAAUCCAAGCGCAGCCAACGCCUCCGCGUCUUUCCUCCUCCGCCCCCAGUUCUGGAGCACCUGGGCAUCAGAUCGAGGAUUCCAUAUUUAGUCCUAUUCAGUUCCCUCUGUGUCUUUCAACCUCUUGUUCUACCUAGGCUGUCACCAUUUUUGAAUCCAGAUAAGUUAGAUUACACCCUAGUUUUGUUUUGUCUGAAAAUCUGGUCGUCUGCUUUCGUGGUCUUCACUUCAGUCC
rnacentral:lncRNA from 1 species